rnacentral:rRNA from 1 species
UACAGAGGAUGCAAGCGUUAUCCAGAAUGAUUGGGCGUAAAGCGUCUGUAGGUGGCUUUUUAAGUCCGCCGUCAAAUCCCAGGGCUCAACUCUGGACAGGCGGUGGAAACUACCAAGCUGGAGUACGGUAGGGGCAGAGGGAAUUUCCGGUGGAGCGGUGAAAUGCGUAGAGAUCGGAAAGAACACCAAUGGCGAAGGCAGUCCGCUGGGCCGUUGCUGACGCUGAGGCGCGACAGCGUGGGGAGCAAACAGG